UACGUAGGGUGCAGGCGUUAAUCGGAAUUACUGGGCGUAAAGCGUGCGCAGGCGGUCUUUUAAGUCAGAUGUGAAAUCCCCGGGCUUAACUCGGAACGGUCAGAUGAUACUGCUUUGCUAGAGUGCGGAAGGGGCAAUCGGAAUUCUUGGUGUAGCGGUGAAAUGCGCAGAUAUCAGGAGGAACACCGAUGGCGAAGGCAGGUCUCUGGGCCGACUACUGACGCUGAGAAGCGAAAGCAUGGGGAGCGAACAGG
rnacentral:rRNA from 1 species